rnacentral:misc_RNA from 1 species
GGAAGGAUCAUUAUUCUGCAUAAAAAAAAACACUUUUAGGUAGCUGACUUCUUUUCUUGGCUUUCCAUAAUUUGAAUGUUGUGGGGAGUCGAGAGAGGAGGGAAGUUACCUAAUCUAUAUAAUAACACACGAUAACAAAAAAAAUAAUAUAUUUAAAUAAAGUGCGAGUGGCUUCACAACCCACUCAUUUUUUUCUGCGGGAGGCCUACCGCGUGACCAAGUGGGCUAGGGAGUAGGAAGGGCAUCAGUGGCACAGUUGCGACUCAGGAGAGAGGUACCCUUUCUUGUUUUGCGGCUGGGUUUUCUGGUCUCCCUCUUAUUUCUACUUUCACGUUUAUCGGAUCGGAUUCGUAUCAUAAAACCCCAUUUGACGGGCUUAACAACCUGGCGAAUGUAAAACUUUUUACAACUUAUAGCGGUGGAUUUCUCGGCUUGCGUAUCGAUGAAGAACGUAGCAAACUACGAUAAUUAUUGUGAAUUGCAAAAUACGUGAAUCAUCGAAUUUUUGAAUGCAUACUGCACCGGGGGUCUAACAACCCCUGGUCUAUCCGGUCGAGUGCCGAUUCUUCAUCACUUCCUUUUCCAAUGAUAAAAAGUUGGUUUUGGUUGUGGAUAUAUGAGGGUAGAGCUCGCUUUUACGGCAGGCAUCUUCCCUUUAAAUACACAAAACGGGUUCCAUCAACAGAGAGCGCUUACUCGCCUUUGGGAGGGGUGCUUUCUUAGUAGUGGGCAUCAAGUCCCCGGCAUGACUAGCCUCGUGUAUCGGCUAAGUCUGUUAGAAAAAUGCUGGGUGCGCAAUGCAGGGAAAACCAGGGAGGUUUUUUCUUCUGUUGUGACUAUCCUCUCACUUGUGGGGGGAUGGUUACGACAGCAUGAGGUUGGGACGCUGUUCAAAAGGCUUUGUGGGCACUUGAGCUUACCAAUAGCUUUUGGGAGUUUACCCGAAUCUCACUUGAUGAUGGGAGAGCUUUGGGGGGAGUGGCUUGCCAUUCCUCACAGGUUGUCACGUUUGAUGGUGGGUUGAGGGAAUCAUAAACUUCUAGAAGUAAGGACGGGGAGGUUCGGGGGUUUGUAGAGCUUGGGGAUGGAUGUUCUGUCUUUGUGGCUUUUCCCCCCCUUGUUGCAGUGGUCUCCACCCCCUCCUUUGCAUCUCACCUUCACGGUGAGGUGUGAGGGAGGGGAGGGGGCCAUUGUAAAUGAGGGGGAGAGAAGGAGUUAGUACUUCUUUAUUGGGGUUCUUGCGUUGUUUAUAAAUAACGGGGGAAGGCAUUGCCUUCUUUCUUAACGGCCUCGGCUCGGGUAGGACUACCCGCUGAACUUAAGCAUAUUAGUAAGCGGAGGAAAAGAAAUUAACAAAGAUUCCCUCAGUAACUGCGAGUGAACUGGGAGGGAGCCCAGCCCUGAAUCGGGGGGGAUUCGUCCUCUACCGAAAUGUGGGGUUUGCCGUGAUUGGUCAGGCGUAAGGGUGAACUUGAAGUCAUCUUGGAACAGUGGGCCUUAGAGGGUGAUAGCCCCGUAAGGUUUGCCCAAGCGUCAGACCAGUUGCGGUUAGAGUCGAGUUGUUUGGGAGUACAACUCUAAAGGGUGAUAAAUUUCAUCCAAGGCUAAAUAUUAACGCAAGACCGAUAGCGCACAAGUACCGCGAGGGAAAGAUGCAAAGACUCUGAAAAGAGAGUUCAAAGUACAUGAAACCGCUAUAAGGGAAAGCGGUGGUUAGGGCAUAUUCACGCUGUUAGGGGUCUGUCUCUGGGAGUUUUGAGGCGUUUGUUGGGGCGUCGGGCAACGGCGUUUCCAGCAGGCGUUUUUGGAAUUUCUAGGGGCGUAUUUCCUAGCAGUGUGUUCACCGAGUAUUUAAUCGUGAUGGCUUUGAAGAACCUGAAAAUCAGUCUUCGGACUGGUGGAGGGUUUUAGAGGCCUAGUUAAGUACAGGGUUACGCAAGUAACACGGGCAGCGCUCAGCGCUCAUGAAUGCUGUCCACGUCGGUGAUUUUAACGUGCCAUACCCACUGACCCGUCUUGAAACACGGACCAAGGAGUCUAUCAGGCUUGCGAGUUCGAGGGUGUAAAAACUCUAGGGCAAAAUGAAAGUAAGAGGUGUGAUAUUCGUAAGAAUUGCAACACCGACCGGUCCAGGCCAUUCGUGGUCAGGAUCGAGUUGUAGCAGGCCUAAUAGAACCCGAAAGGUGGCGAACUAUGCCUGUACAGGAAGAAGCCAGGAGAAAUCCUGGUGGAAGUCCGUAGCGGUAUUGACGUGCAAAUCAUUCGUCAGAUGCAGGUAUAGCGGCGAAAGACCAAUCGAGCCGCCUAGUAGCUGGUUCCCUC